GGACAGGCGGCACCGUGGUGGCCUUGGCUGUCAGUCAUUAACCCAGUGGGGACAGAGUCCAGGCGCAGGGGCUGCCCAGAGCCUGGCGAGGCAGAGCAGCUCCCGGGCGGAGGAUGGCGGCAGGCACCAGGUCCCCACGCACGCGGGCGGUGGUGAGCGUGGUGCAGGGCGCGGAGGCACCGGGGGCACAACCUGCACGCCCUGGGGCCCAGCUGCCAGCCUCUCCUGGGGCCAUUUGUGCCACCAGAGCAAGGCCGGCAGCUGGAGAGGGGGGUCCCAUGGCAGCCAAGCCCCAUGGCCACGCGGGGUCCCACAGCCCUGCGCCCCUGUCCUGCAUCUCCCCACCCCCCCGCGUGGCAUCCUGACCACCGUGCCCCCCCCCACGCCACCAGCGCUGCCUCACCGCUGUUGGCUCCGGUGACAAUGACCGUCUUGCCCGUCAGGUCGGUGGGGCACUUGCGCGGGUCCCAGCCUCGUCUCCUCCUGGCCCAGAGCAGCAGCCCCAGGACCAGCGCCAGCACGGACCAGCCCGGGUGGCUGCAGGCGCUCGGCAGCUCCAUGGCUGGGGACAG